UUGCCAAGCCGAGUGGUCUAAGGCGCUACGUUUAGGUUAUUUAUAACCCCCGUAGUCAGAAAUGGCGUGGGUUCGAAUCCCACUCUCGUAAG